UAAUUAAACGCACGUCCCUGACAGGAACAAAAUGUCCACAUUCAUUAAAUCCUCGCAGUGUAUCGACCUUGUAAAUCCUCUUAUAAGUUGACGCGUGAACGAUUGCUAUAUACCUCCUGUGAAAAAAAAGAUCUAUAAACAAUGUACCUUUAACGCUGAUUUCUACAGUCCCAAUUAGCCUUUAAAGCGAGUCGACUCGGCGAGAGAAUCGUCAAGAGUUCAUAUGACAAACAUUGGAGAAGUCGAGGAAUUGGACCACUAGCACGUUCAAAUGUCAGCGGAGGAUACCAAGGACGAUGUGGAGGAUACUUCCGGUAACCAGGCGGAAUCUAUAAAACAUGAGGAAGAUGAUCGCCAGAAUGAAGAUCCGCCACGAAUGGAGAUUCCCCAGUGUGACAGAAUCAAAAUAGCCCUACAAACAAGGGCACGUUUCAUGAGUAACAAACGCUAUCAAAGAUCGGAAUUUAAUCAUCUACUUUAAGUUACAGUUGUUGACAAGAUUGGGGAUGGAGCAAAUGAAACAUUUUAUGUUACAAAACUGAUCAUCUACGCAGAUCAAAUAGUUUAUUGUUUAUAUUUAAACUUUCAAUUUACUCAUAAUCUUAACUAUUGAGAACAUCGGACUUCGGUGACAUAUGAUGACAGGUUAUCUAUUUUUUUUUUAUCCUUGCGAUAUUGUUUCGAAAUGUUUGUUAGUUGUUAUGUUUUUUUUAAUUGCUAAAUAAACCAAUGCCAAAAAAUUGAAA